GUUUCAGGGUGAGCCGGACGCAGGCGUGCCUGCGCAGUGCGCGGAGGAGUGCUGUUCGUGUGUUCGAGUCCCUGGGUUGCUUCCUGGGGUCUGUGGUGCUGGGUGUGCUAUCUGCGUGUGAUUCUCUAGCGAGAGAUUGUGGGCGAGUGACCGAGUGGGCAAGGGGCCGUCACUGUGUGUGCGUGAUUUUGACAGUGUGUGGUGGUAGCUUCUGACUCCGCGUGGGUCGUUGAAUGUAUGACUGGGACCGUUUAGCGGUGGAUACACAACUGUGUGCGGCUGUGGAAGAUUGCCUCAUCCGUUACGUUCCCAUUUCCGUGGAACAACAGUUUUACCAGAAGGUUUCGAAGGAACCUUAAAGUUUGGAAGCGUAAGAGUUUAUCUGGCGGCUUUGGUGUCAUCAAAUGUGAGAAGCCCUGGACUUUACACAUCCCGAGCCAGUGUGAUCCAGUAUGAUUGGGAGUCCGAGUGCCAGAUGCCGGUCAGGACCUGUUAUGCUGGGUCUCAGAAUGCGGAAACUCUCCCUGUCCGAGGUGGAACAGUUUGUCCUUGAGUGAGGACUGGAGUCCUGAGUGACUCUUUUGAUUUGAUCCUGUUUCCCUCAAACCUGAGAUGGGAGCCUCACUGUAUUGCCCAGGCUGGUCUUGAACUCCGGAGCUCAAGUGAUCGUCUUGCUUCAGCCUUGCAAAAUGAUGGUGAAGCUGCAUCAUUGUCUGGGGUAAAUACCUGAGGUUCGUUGUCUCACGCCAAGGGAAUCAAGGACGUGGACACACAAGAAAUGGAGUCCCUGUCUGACCGGGCCAUGUUGUAUGUUCCUUGCUGUACACGUGGUUGACAAAGAAAAGGGAAGAUGGAGCUGCGAUGUUGGACAUGCCUGGCCCCCAGGACAUACAGCCCUGCCGAGCAAAUAAUGAACGUAACUCACAAACUUCCUGCUUAUCAUCAAACGCACGCAUCCACUUAUCAUCAAACACCUCGGGUGACAGAAGAAUGCAGGUCAGCUCCCUGCUGCCUUGGCAUUAUCAAUCAGCCCAGGAACCAUCCUAUAAAAUCUCCAGCAAGCCUUUGUUUCCUUGCAGUCAGCUCCUCUUCCACUGAUUCUGCCUGUUGCUCCCUGAUAACAUACUUUGAUACUGUCUUUAAUAAAUCUGCCUUUCUUCACCCACAGCUGUCUUGGUAAGUUCUUUUACCUCUGUGCCACCAGCCCAAACAGUUGCUG
rnacentral:lncRNA from 1 species